AUGGUGAACUUUGGGAAGAAGUUGAUGGCAGAUCAAGUAGAAGAAUGGAAAGGGUACUAUAUUAAUUACAAAUUGAUGAAGAAAUUGUUAAAGCAAUACGUUCAACAGACCCAAAUUGGUGGCAAAGAUUGUGAGCAAGUUCUUAAGGAGUUCUCGAGGAUUCUUGAUGAUCAGAUUGAAAGGAUCGUGCUCUUUCUGCUGCAACAACAAGGCCACCUCUCUAGAAGGAUCGAGGAAUUGGGAGCACAGCGUGCUGCUAUUAUGCAACAGGUUGAUACAUCAAGAGUUUUCCAACUUCGUGAGGAUUACAGAGAAGUUGGAAGAGAUCUCGUAAAGCUUCUCCGCUUUGUUGACAUGAAUGCUACCGGUCUAAGGAAGAUACUGAAGAAAUUUGAUAAGCGGUUUGGCUAUAAGUUUACAGAUUAUUAUGUCACCACUCGUUCAAACCAUCCUUAUUCGCAGCUUCAGCAAGUCUUUAAGCAAGUGGGAAUUGUAGCCGUUGCAGGUGCUUUAUCACGCAACCUUGCAUAUCUGGAACAUGAGCAUCGAGGAAGCUUUUUAUCCAUAUAUGAUAAUCCAUCAGUUGUACUGCAGGACCCUAUCAUAGACCAGGUAAACCAUGCAGUACAGAAACUCACACACGCGACAAGUUUUAUGCAAUACUUGGGACAACACGCACUUAUCGUCCAAGACGACACACCCAGUGGAUCGGAGGAUAAUGUCGAUGAUGAGAGCUACCAUUUCAUGUCCCUGAUGCUUAACCUAGUGAACACAUUUCUUUACAUGGUGAACACAUAUAUCAUCGUCCCGACCGCAGACGACUACUCAGUGAGCCUUGGAGCUGCCGCCACAGUUUGUGGCAUAAUCAUUGGAUCGAUGGCGGUCGCUCAGGUGUUCUCUUCAGUUUAUUUCAGUGCCUGGUCGAAUAGGUCAUACUUCAGACCUCUAGUGUUCAGCAGCAUUAUGCUUUUCUCUGGGAACCUGCUGUAUGCAUUGGCAUAUGACCUGAACUCCCUGACAGUUCUCCUGAUUGGCCGGAUACUAUGCGGGUUGGGUUCUGCAAGAGCUGUGAACCGUAGGUAUAUCAGUGACUGCGUGCCUCUCAAGAUCAGGCUCCAAGCCUCUGCGGGGUUCGUCAGUGCUAGUGCUCUUGGAAUGGCAUGUGGCCCUGGCCUUGCUGGUUUUCUUCAGACAAAAUUUACGAUAUACUCGCUGACUUUUAACCAGAGCACAUUGCCUGGAUGGGUCAUGUCCAUUGCUUGGCUUCUUUACUUGGUGUGGCUAUGGUUUUCAUUCAAAGAGCCGGAACACUUCGCUAAGGCUGCAGCCGAGGCUGCGGCCAGAACAUCGCAGCCUUCUGAAUCUGGUCAUCAAGAAAGUGCUAAUUUGGAGGAAGGUCUAGCACAACCUCUGCUUCUAGGUUCAGAAGAGAGGUUGGAUGAUAAUUCGGAGGAUAAUGAUGAUGAAGAUGCUAAAAGUUCCCAUGAGCCAGCAACAUCCUUUGCUUCAGCAUAUAAAUUGCUGACACCCUCUGUGAAGGUCCAACUAUUGAUAUACUUUAUGCUCAAGUAUGCGAUGGAAAUUUUGCUCUCCGAAUCAAGUGUUGUCACCACAUACUAUUUUAACUGGGAUACAAGUGCUGUGGCCAUCUUUUUAGCGAUUCUUGGGUUGACUGUUCUUCCAGUAAAUGCCAUUGUUGGGAGCUACGUUACGAAUUGGUUUGAGGACAGGCAAAUUCUGUUGGCAUCUGAAAUCAUGGUUCUGAUUGGCAUUAUCAUGAGCUUCCGUUACACACCUCACUACUCCAUUCCACAGUACGUCUCUUCGGCUCUCAUCACGUUCGUAUUCGCAGAGGUGCUUGAAGGAGUAAACCUGUCCCUGCUUUCGCGGGUCAUGUCAUCGAGGCUGUCGCGAGGGACCUACAACGGCGGCCUCCUCUCAACGGAGGCCGGGACGCUGGCCCGUGUGGUCGCGGACGCGACAAUCACCGCAGCGGGCUACCUAGGCACGGACAUGCUCCUCAACGUCACCCUGCUGCCGCCUCUCGUGAUCACCAUCGUCUCCAUCGUCGCAACAUUCUGCACAUACAACACCCUCUACUGA
rnacentral:rRNA from 1 species